rnacentral:rRNA from 1 species
CCCUUAGAUGUUCUGGGCCGCACGCGCGCUACAAUGAUGAAUUCAACGAGUUUUCGACCUUGUCCGAGAGGAUUGGGUAAUCUUUUUAAAAUGCAUCGUGAUGGGGAUAGAUUAUUGCAAUUAUUAAUCUUGAACGAGGAAUUCCUAGUAAACGCAGAUCAUCAAUCUGCAUUGAUUACGUCCCUGCCCUUUGUACACACCGCCCGUCGCACCUACCGAUUGGAUGGUCCGGUGAAGCCUCGGGAUUGUGGUUCUUGCCGCUUUAUUGUGGCGUGACCGCGAGAACUUGUCUAAACCUUAUCAUCUAGAGGAAGGUGAAGUCGUAACA